rnacentral:ncRNA from 2 species
GGUCACGAGCGACCAGCGAUACGCCCUCCGCGUGCUGGUCCGGCAACCGCGCAACCUCGCGCACGGUGCCCCAGGAGGAAGACCGGUCCACCACGAACCCGUGGCGGAAAGAGCGAAGG